rnacentral:rRNA from 1 species
AUUGAACGCUGGCGGCAGGCCUAACACAUGCAAGUCGAACGAGUGGCGGACGGGUGAGUAAUGUCUGGGAAACUGCCUGAUGGAGGGGGAUAACUACUGGAAACGGUAGCUAAUACCGCAUACCAUCGGAUGUGCCCAGAUGGGAUUAGCUAGUAGGUGGGGUAAAGGCUCACCUAGGCGACGAUCCCUAGCUGGUCUGCGAGGAUGACAAGGCAAAAGGGAAAUAGGACACGGUCCAGACUCCUACGGGAGGAAGAAGUGGGGAAUAAUGCAAAAUGGGCGCAAGCCUGAUGCAGCCAUGCCGCGUGUAGGAAGAAGGCCUUCGGGUUGUAAAGUACUUUCAGCGGGGAGGCGUUACCCGCAGAAGAAGCACCGGCUAACUCCGUGCCAGCAGCCGCGGUAAUAC